UGCUCUUAGACGGCGGGGCGACUGGCUGGGCUCUUGACCAGCAGCCGGAAUGAGCUCUGCAAUUUAGUUACACAGUUGUAACGCCGGCAAGUCCUGAUCUCCAGGGGUCACAGAUUUGCCUUCUCUAAAAUGAGUCCAACCCCAUGGACUUAAUGCAACGUCUCAUAGCCAAGAAGUCAGGCAGCAAGACCAAGGGGAUUCUUCUCAGCCAUAACCUCUCUCAGCUCCUCGGAUGUCUUCGGAUGUCCUCGGGUGUCUGGUAAGCUGAGUGGAUGGCAGUAGUCACCUUGGGAGAGGUGGUCAAUCAUCUGGCCUUGGUGACAACAGUCGAUCAGCAAUCAGCAGUAGAGUGGACAGCAGCUGGGGCAGCCAAGAGACAGAGCAACAUGGAGUCCUCUGGUCACGGUGCUGCUGACAGUUUGCUCCAAAAGCCCAGGGGUGUUGGCACAGUUUGUGAAGCAUCGAGUCCCUGAUAACACUCCUCCUAGGGGAACCGGAUCAGUCCUUGAUCAAGAAUCUUCAACAGCAAAGAGGAAUUGAAGAGACAACAUGAUUUAAAACGGUAUCCUGUGUCACACUCCUCAGACAUGAAGUUGUCUUCAUUUUGCUGUUAAAAAAUACCUUGGGGAACCUGAUGCAUGUAAAAUUGUUAUUGUUAAAAAGUUGUUAUUAUUGAGUUAACAAAAGUAUUUCUAAGAGUUCACAAAUGUUGGUUUAGAAAGGUGCUUUUCAGACAAAAAAGGAAAAACACUGAUCAGUAUAUUUAUAGUUUUAUAACUUAGGCUAGGUGUGUAGUUCAAUGGUAGAGUUCUUGCCUUGUAAAUGUGAGUCCCACCACUGCAAAAAGACAAGAAAACAAACAAAAACUAUAAAUGGCCAAACAGGAAGAACUUGGAGUGGUAUCAGUGUUUCAGCUAAAAUAACUAUGAAACCUAGUAUUAUUUGAAUUAAUUGUGUUUAAACCAAUUUUGUUUUCCAUCAUAGCUUCACUUCUAUGCUGAUCAAAAUUAACUAUAAUCAAAUAAUAGAUAAGAAGCAUAAAUGUAUUUAAGGUAUUUGAAGUAAGAAGAAAAGAAGGGGAGGAAUACUUAGGUCAUUUUCCAUCUUGAUUUAUAAUCCAUUUCCUUUGAUUAAAAAAAUGUUUAACUUCAAAUUUAAGACUUUUUAUAUUGGGGCUGGGGUUGUGGCUCAGUAGUAGAGUGCUUGCCUAGCAUGUG